UCAAGAAACUUCCACAAUGGGCGAAAGCCUGAUGGAGCGACGUCGCGUGAUGGACGAAGUGCUUCGGCACGUAAACAUCUUUUUAUGUGGGAUGAAAUUAUUGACAGUACCACAUGAAUAAGGGGCUCCUAACUCUGUGCCGGCAGGAGCGGUAAUACAGAGGCCCCAAGCGUUAUCCGGAAUCACUGGGCGUAAAGGGUGUCGAGGCGGUUGUAUUAGUCGUUCGUAAAAUCUACGAGCUUAACUUGUAGGCGGCGAACGAAACGGUACGACUUGAGGUUUGGAGAGGUGCGUGGAACUCACGGUGUAGGGGUGAAAUCCGUUGAUAUCGUGGGGAACACCAAAGGCGAAGGCAGCGCACUGGCCAAAAUCUGACGCUCACACACGAAAGCUAGGGUAGCGAAGAGGAUUAGAUACCCCCGUAGUCCCUGAGCGGGCUGGCAAGGCGCAU
rnacentral:rRNA from 1 species